UUAAUCAAUAAUUUUUCUUCUAUUUACAAGGAACACCAAUCAGCUGGGGGCCAGAUGAACUGGAAGCACAACGUACAGCGGCCGUGAGACUAUUUUCUCCUGAACAUCUCGCCUAACAAGCACACAUCAACUCAUCCCAAGGAAUUGCACAGCAGUUGAAAGGCUCAUUCUCGAACAGCUGGGUGAACUUCACCUUAAAGUGGACCACUUAACAGCUGCACUACAGUCAAUUGUUGGAAACAGAGCUCCUAAUCCAACACCUCAGGGCAACGACUAUGACAGAAGCCUCCCCAUUUCAACAUUGGAGGAACUAGCCAGCUUCGAUGACAGACUUUGUCAGGACAACAAUUUUCAGAAACAUCUGAUCGCAAAGCUGUCCAUGACAGGGGGAAACACUGUCAAAAAAACUGUGUGGCGGGUUUGCAGUAAGGUGUUUGCACCGGAAUUGGCCACCCAGCUAAAUUGGUGUGGAAGAGGGCACAAGACUGGGAUACAAUCACGACCAGUACGUGAAAUCAUUUUGUUGUCAGUUCUCAACAACGGGCUUCAGAUCAAGACCACUGAGGCCGAGGUGGAGGCUGCCAUACAAAAUUGGCUCAGGCUGAGCCAAGACAGAGUUGGAGGACGCCGGAGGGAGAGACCAGCUACAACUACAGACCACUAGAAAGUUCUCAGGAGGAACAGAGUCCUAUUGUUUUAUU